GGGAGAUUAGCUCAGCGGUAGAGUGUCUCGUUUACACCGAGGUUGUCACUGGUUCGAUCCCAGUAUCUCCCA
rnacentral:tRNA from 1 species